rnacentral:rRNA from 1 species
UACGUAGGUGGCAAGCGUUGUCCGGAUUUACUGGGCGUAAAGAGCGCGCAGGCGGUCGUUCAAGUCGCGUGUGAAAGCCCCCGGCUCAACUGGGGAGGGUCACGCGAUACUGAUCGACUCGAAGGCAGGAGAGGGUAGUGGAAUUCCCGGUGUAGUGGUGAAAUGCGUAGAUAUCGGGAGGAACACCUAUGGCGAAGGCAGCUCGCUGGGACGUUACUGACGCUGAGACGCGAAAGCGUGGGGAGCAAACAGG